AUUGAACGCUGGCGGCAUGCUUUACACAUGCAAGUCGAACGGCAGCACGGACUUCGGUCUGGUGGUGAGUGGCGAACGGGUGAGUAAUACAUCGGAACGUGCCCAGUUGUGGGGGAUAACUACUCGAAAGAGUAGCUAAUACCGCAUGAGAACUGAGGUUGAAAGCAGGGGAUCGUAAGACCUUGCGCAACUGGAGCGGCCGAUGGCAGAUUAGGUAGUUGGUGGGAUAAAAGCUUACCAAGCCGACGAUCUGUAGCUGGUCUGAGAGGACGAACAGCCACAGUGGGAAUGAGACACGGCCCAGACCCCUACGGGAGGAAGGAGUGGGGAAUUUUGGGCAAUGGGCGAAAGCCUGAUCCAGCAAUGCCGCGUGCAGGAUGAAGGCCUUCGGGUUGUAAACUGCUUUUGUACGGAACGAAAAGCUUCGGGCUAAUACCCUGGAGUCAUGACGGUACCGUAAGAAUAAGCACCGGCUAACUACGUGCCAGCCGCCGCCGUAACAC
rnacentral:rRNA from 1 species